rnacentral:lncRNA from 1 species
AUGUGUCAGCUGUCAAGCUCACAGUCUGAACAGCACGUGCCUCCUGAAGUUCUUGCUGAACGCUCUGAUGUUACACAGCCAGAAAGUGUGUUAAGAAAAGCAAAGGUGUAAUCUGCAGAGAACUACAAAGGAUCACUCCCUAAUAAGAGAUCUUGAACCCACACCCAUCUCAGUUUCAUCAUGAAGUUAAUUUUGAAACAUUUGAUCAGACACCCAAACCACACAUCAAGUAAAUUUCCAUGGUGGCC